rnacentral:rRNA from 1 species
GACGAACGCUGGCGGCGUGCUUAACACAUGCAAGUCGAACGGAAAGGCCCUGCUUUUGUGGGGUGCUUGAGUGGCGAACGGGUGAGUAACACGUGAGUAACCUGCCCUUGACUUUGGGAUAACUUCAGGAAACUGGGGCUAAUACCGGAUAGGAGCUCCUGCUGCAUGGUGGGGGUUGGAAAGUUUCGGCGGUUCGGGAUGGACUCGCGGCUUAUCAGCUUGUUGGUGGGGUAGUGGCUUACCAAGGCUUUGACGGGUAGCCGGCCUGAGAGGGUUACCGGCCACAUUGGGACUGAGAUACGGCCCAGACUCCUACGGGAGGCAGCAGUGGGGAAUAUUGCACAAUGGGCGGAAGCCUGAUGCAGCAACGCCGCGUGCGGGAUGACGGCCUUCGGGUUGUAAACCGCUUUCGCCUGUGACGAAGCGUGAGUGACGGUAAUGGGUAAAGAAGCACCGGCUAACUACGUG